CAUUGAUGUCCCAGGAUUCUCCACAAACCGUCCCCCACUGGCCGUUGUUGUAGAACUCCACCCUGCCCACGCAGCGGUUCGGCCCGUCGGCCAACUUUACGCUACCUGGAGAGGACAGGUGUUCCGUUAUUAUUAUCAAUAACCAGGUUACAGUGGUUCCAUCUGCUGCUGGAUCGAUUCAGGAACAUCUAGAACAUCUGCUGAAGAACUCAGGACUUUGCUUCCUGCUGUGACUACUUGACUGGCAGAUCUGAUCCAGUCCAGCACCAACCAGGAGAAACACCUCGUACCAGCGGUUGUAGGAGAUCGACACGAUCUUUUUGAAGAACCAGGAGCUACAUCUCACCUGAACACUGGACUGCUGCCUCCUGGAUGCGGCUGC